CUAGAUUAUUGAGAACGGCGGCAGGCAAAGGAAAAAAAAAAAAGGAGCGUGACGGCUUCGCUGUGCGCCUGCGCGCUGGCGGCGGCUGUGGCGGGGCCCGGCGGGGAGCGGGUCCGGAGCAGGCUCCCGGACCCAAAUCUGAAGGGGGAGUGUGGGGCGUCAGGGAGCUCCCUCGCCUGGCCUUCGGCGGCCUGAUGGAGUAAGAGGGGUUGGCUGUGAAUGUGUGACGUUGCGUGCUUCAGAUCUGGUCACUAUGGUACGAGAACGAAAAUGCAUAUUGUGCCACAUUGUGUACAGCUC